AGUUAGUCUCCAGAGCUCACCCUCUCUACCACUCUACCCCUGUUUCACAUAGUAAGGCCUUAAUAAAAGUCUGGUGAAGGUGUGUUAUAGUUUGGAUUAAAUUGUUUCUUUCCUGAGAAUAGUUGAUAAUAAGGAAGAUUGAAAAAACUGACAGCGCAGCUCAUAGAGCCACAGCAGAAGACGUCAGAGGCAGUCUCAGGUCUGGGUGAGGACAGAGCAGCGAAAGGCAUCCUGAUCAGCUGAG
rnacentral:lncRNA from 1 species